rnacentral:rRNA from 1 species
UACGAAGGGGGCUAGCGUUGUUCGGAUUUACUGGGCGUAAAGCGCACGUAGGCGGAUCGAUCAGUCAGGGGUGAAAUCCCAGAGCUCAACUCUGGAACUGCCUUUGAUACUGUCGAUCUGGAGUAUGGAAGAGGUGAGUGGAAUUCCGAGUGUAGAGGUGAAAUUCGUAGAUAUUCGGAGGAACACCAGUGGCGAAGGCGGCACUCUGGGCCGGUACUGACGCUGAGGAGCGAAAGCGUGGGGAGCGAACAGG